rnacentral:rRNA from 1 species
UACGGAGGGGGCUAGCGUUGUUCGGAAUUACUGGGCGUAAAGCGCGCGUAGGCGGACCUGCAAGUCGGGGGUGAAAGCCCGAGGCUCAACCUCGGAACUGCCUUCGAUACUGCGGGUCUCGAGUCCGGGAGAGGUGAGUGGAAUUCCUAGUGUAGAGGUGAAAUUCGUAGAUAUUAGGAAGAACACCAGUGGCGGAAGGCGGCUCACUGGCCCGGUACUGACGCUGAGGCGCGAA